rnacentral:rRNA from 1 species
AGAGUUUGAUCAUGGCUCAGGAUGAACGCUAGCUACAGGCUUAACACAUGCAAGUCGAGGGGAAACGACAUCGAAAGCUUGCUUUUGAUGGGCGUCGACCGGCGCACGGGUGAGUAACGCGUAUCCAACCUACCCUUGUCCAUCGGAUAACCCGUCGAAAGGCGGCCUAACACGAUAUGCGGUUCACGGCAGGCAUCUAAGGUGAACGAAAUGUGAAGGAGAAGGAUGGGGAUGCGUCUGAUUAGCUUGUUGGCGGGGUAACGGCCACCAAGGCUACGAUCAGUAGGGGUUCUGAGAGGAAGGUCCCCCACAUUGGAACUGAGACACGGUUCCAAACUCCUACGGGAGCA